GGGGAUUUAGCUUGGUGGCAUAAGUGCCUGCCUUGCAAGUAGGUAGCCGUGAGUUCAAUCCCCG
rnacentral:tRNA from 1 species